rnacentral:rRNA from 1 species
GGAACGUGCCUUUUGGUUCGGAAUAGCUCCUGGAAACGGGUGGUAAUGCCGAAUGUGCCCUUCGGGGGAAAGAUUUAUCGCCAUUAGAGCGGCCCGCGUCUGAUUAGCUAGUUGGUGAGGUAAAGGCUUACCAAGGCUACGAUCAGUAGCUGGUCUGAGAGGAUGACCAGCCACAUUGGGACUGAGACACGGCCCAAACUCCUACGGGAGGCAGCAGUGGGGAAUCUUGCGCAAUGGGCGAAAGCCUGACGCAGCCAUGCCGCGUGAAUGAUGAAGGUCUUAGGAUUGUAAAAUUCUUUCACCGGGGACGAUAAUGACGGUACCCGGAGAAGAAGCCCCGGCUAACUUCGUGCCAGCAGCCGCGGUAAUACGAAGGGGGCUAGCGUUGCUCGGAAUUACUGGGCGUAAAGGGAGCGUAGGCGGACAUUUAAGUCAGGGGUGAAAUCCCAGAGCUCAACUCUGGAACUGCCUUUGAUACUGGAUGUCUUGAGUGUGAGAGAGGUAUGUGGAACUCCGAGUGUAGAGGUGAAAUUCGUAGAUAUUCGGAAGAACACCAGUGGCGAAGGCGACAUACUGGCUCAUUACUGACGCUGAGGCUCGAAAGCGUGGGGAGCAAACAGGAUUAGAUACCCUGGUAGUCCACGCCGUAAACGAUGAUUGCUAGUUGUC